AACGCUGGCGGCGUGCCUAAUACAUGCAAGUCGAGCGAACGGACGAGAAGCUUGCUUCUCUGAUGUUAGCGGCGGACGGGUGAGUAACACGUGGAUAACCUACCUAUAAGACUGGGAUAACUUCGGGAAACCGGAGCUAAUACCGGAUAAUAUUUUGAACCGCAUGGUUCAAAAGUGAAAGACGGUCUUGCUGUCACUUAUAGAUGGAUCCGCGCUGCAUUAGCUAGUUGGUAAGGUAACGGCUUACCAAGGCAACGAUGCAUAGCCGACCUGAGAGGGUGAUCGGCCACACUGGAACUGAGACACGGUCCAGACUCCUACGGGAGGCAGCAGUAGGGAAUCUUCCGCAAUGGGCGAAAGCCUGACGGAGCAACGCCGCGUGAGUGAUGAAGGUCUUCGGAUCGUAAAACUCUGUUAUUAGGGAAGAACAUAUGUGUAAGUAACUGUGCACAUCUUGACGGUACCUAAUCAGAAAGCCACGGCUAACUACGUGCCAGCAGCCGCGGUAAUACGUAGGUGGCAAGCGUUAUCCGGAAUUAUUGGGCGUAAAGCGCGCGUAGGCGGUUUUUUAAGUCUGAUGUGAAAGCCCACGGCUCAACCGUGGAGGGUCAUUGGAAACUGGAAAACUUGAGUGCAGAAGAGGAAAGUGGAAUUCCAUGUGUAGCGGUGAAAUGCGCAGAGAUAUGGAGGAACACCAGUGGCGAAGGCGACUUUCUGGUCUGUAACUGACGCUGAUGUGCGAAAGCGUGGGGAUCAAACAGGAUUAGAUACCCUGGUAGUCCACGCCGUAAACGAUGAGUGCUAAGUGUUAGGGGGUUUCCGCCCCUUAGUGCUGCAGCUAACGCAUUAAGCACUCCGCCUGGGGAGUACGACCGCAAGGUUGAAACUCAAAGGAAUUGACGGGGACCCGCACAAGCGGUGG
rnacentral:rRNA from 1 species